rnacentral:lncRNA from 1 species
UGAUUAUAACACCACAGAAUUAACCUCAGUCAUUUUAUUUACAGACGGUCAGAAUAUAAAGUGAAAUUCUGACCAGAAGCAGUGAAUUUAAUGGUCUCUGUUACUUUUCCACGAUAACUUGUUUUGGAGAAUACAACGUUCUGAGAGGCAGAAGUCUGCAGAUGCACUUGCUCCUAACCUUGUUUUUCAGUGCAACAGCAUAGGAGCAGAAGGGAACAUCUGGAUCACAAAACCCAGUCCUGCACUCAGACAAGAAACCACAUCAUGUAAUCAUCAACUGAAUCUGAUUUAGCUCAGUCAUAAUGUGACUGCUGCACUCAUCUCGGCAUCCAUUGUUCCUAUUUAUGGAGAAGGAAAGUCAGUUUGCUCUCUCGAGACUUUCUCUGUUAAUCCUGGCAGGACCCCAUUUGUUUACCUGAGAAAAUGGUUAAGAUCUCAUUGCUUUUCUCACCAGCCCACAGUGAGGAUUUCCUUUCACACAGAAAUGUCAUCAGCACCUGAUAAAAGUGGAACCGGGUCAGAAACAGUUUUCCCCUCACUGCAAAAUUAUUUCAUAUUUCAAAAGGAC